UUAAUUGAAGCCAAAGAUUGAGGUAACUUAUUGUUAAUAAGAAAAUUGAAUAUUAUUCCAGUUAAA
rnacentral:tRNA from 1 species